AUGCAAGUCGAGGGGCAGCAUGAUUGAAGCUUGCUUCAAUUGAUGGCGACCGGCGCACGGGUGAGUAACGCGUAUCCAACCUUCCGUACACUCAGGGAUAGCCUUUCGAAAGAAAGAUUAAUACCCGAUGGUAUGAUGAGAUUGCAUGAUAGCAUCAUUAAAGAUUUAUCGGUGUACGAUGGGGAUGCGUUCCAUUAGGUAGUAGGCGGGGUAACGGCCCACCUAGCCGACGAUGGAUAGGGGUUCUGAGAGGAAGGUCCCCCACAUUGGAACUGAGACACGGUCCAAACUCCUACGGGAGGCAGCAGUGAGGAAUAUUGGUCAAUGGACGAGAGUCUGAACCAGCCAAGUAGCGUGAAGGAUGAAGGUCCUACGGAUUGUAAACUUCUUUUAUAAGGGAAUAAAACCUCCCACGUGUGGGAGCUUGUAUGUACCUUAUGAAUAAGCAUCGGCUAACUCCGUGCCAGCGGCCGCGGUAAUACGGAGGAUGCGAGCGUUAUCCGGAUUUAUUGGGUUUAAAGGGAGCGCAGACGGGUCGUUAAGUCAGCUGUGAAAGUUUGGGGCUCAACCUUAAAAUUGCAGUUGAUACUGGCGUCCUUGAGUGCGGUUGAGGUGUGCGGAAUUCGUGGUGUAGCGGUGAAAUGCUUAGAUAUCACGAAGAACUCCGAUUGCGAAGGCAGCACACUAAGCCGUAACUGACGUUCAUGCUCGAAAGUGUGGGUAUCAAACAGGAUUAGAUACCCUGGUAGUCCACACGGUAAACGAUGGAUACUCGCUGUUGGCGAUAUACAGUCAGCGGCUUAGCGAAAGCGUUAAGUAUCCCACCUGGGGAGUACGCCGGCAACGGUGAAACUCAAAGGAAUUGACGGGGGCCCGCACAA
rnacentral:rRNA from 1 species